CUUGGUCAUUUAGAGGAAGUAAAAGUCGUAACAAGGUUUCCGUAGGUGAACCUGCGGAAGGAUCAUUAGUGAAUUGAAUAUGUUAGCGGACCUCUUCGGAGUCCCUAGCAUCAAAUCAUAUCCAUAACACCUGUGAACUGUAAGGCUGUCUUGAAAACGAAGGUGAUUAGAGCGCCUGCCCAUUUUAUACAAACAUUAAAGUAACAAACGUAGUCUUAUUAUAAUCUAAUAAAACUUUCAACAACGGAUCUCUUGGCUCUCGCAUCGAUGAAGAACGCAGCGAAAUGCGAUAAGUAAUGUGAAUUGCAGAAUUCAGUGAAUCAUCGAAUCUUUGAACGCACCUUGCGCUCUUUGGUAUUCCGAAGAGCAUGCCUGUUUGAGUGUCAUGAAAAUAUCAACCUUGACUUGGGUUUAGUGCUCUUGUCUUGGCUUGGAUUUGGCUGUUUGCCGCUCGAAAGAGUCGGCUCAGCUUAAAAGUAUUAGCUGGAUCUGUCUUUGAGACUUGGUUUGACUUGGCGUAAUAAGUUAUUUCGCUGAGGACAAUCUUCGGAUUGGCCGAGUUUCUGGGACGUUUGUCCGCUUUCUAAUACAAGUUCUAGCUUGCUAGACAUGACUUUUUUAUUAUCUGGCCUCAAAUCAGGUAGGACUACCCGCUGAACUUAAGCAUAUCAAUAAGCGGAGGA
rnacentral:rRNA from 1 species